UACGGAAGGUCCGGGCGUUAUCCGGAUUUAUUGGGUUUAAAGGGAGCGUAGGCCGGCUUUUAAGUCAGCUGUGAAAGUCCGCGGCUCAACCGUGGAAUUGCAGUUGAAACUGGAGGCCUUGAGUGCACACAGGGAUGCCGGAAUUCAUGGUGUAGCGGUGAAAUGCGUAGAUAUACGGAGGAACACCAGUGGCGAAGGCGGAUUGCUGGACAGUAACUGACGCUGAGGCGCGAAAGCGUGGGGAGCGAACAGG
rnacentral:rRNA from 1 species